AGCAGCCGCGGUAAUUCCAGCUCCAAUAGCGUAUAUUAAAGUUGUUGCAGUUAAGAAGCUCGUAGUUGAAUUUCGGGAUCAAUAUGUUGGUCGUGCCUUUGGUACGUACUAGCUUAUUGAUUUCUCCCUUCUGACGAACCAUGAUGUCAUUAAUUUGGUGUCAUGGGGAAUCAGGACUGUUACUUUGAAAAAAUUAGAGUGUUUAAAGCAGGCUUACGCUUGAAUAUAUUAGCAUGGAAUAAUGAAAUAGGACGUUUUGAUUCUAUUUUGUUGGUUUCUAGGAUCGACGUAAUGAUUAAUAGGGAUAGUUGGGGGCAUUAGUAUUCAAUUGUCAGAGGUGAAAUUCUUGGAUUUAUUGAAGACUAACUACUGCGAAAGCAUUUGCCAAGGAUGUUUUCAUUAAUCAAGAACGAAAGUUAGGGGAUCGAAGACGAUCAGAUACCGUCGUAGUCUUAACCAUAAACUAUGCCGACUAGGGAUCGGAUGAUGUUAAUUUUUAAUGA
rnacentral:rRNA from 1 species